GACGAACGCUGGCGGUGUGCUUAACACAUGCAAGUCGAACGGUAAGGCCCUUUCGGGGGUACACGAGUGGCGAACGGGUGAGUAACACGUGAGUAACCUGCCCUCAUCUCUGGGAUAACAGUCGGAAACGGUUGCUAAUACUGGAUAUGAGCUUGCAAGGCAUCUUGUGGGCUGGAAAGAUUUUUUUGGUUGGGGAUGGACUCGCGGCCUAUCAGCUUGUUGGUGAGGUAGUGGCUCACCAAGGCUUCGACGGGUAGCCGGCCUGAGAGGGCGACCGGCCACAUUGGGACUGAGAUACGGCCCAAACUCCUACGGGAGGCAGCGGUGGGGAAUAUUGCACAAUGGACGGAAGUCUGAUGCAGCAACGCCGCGUGCGGGAUGACGGCCUUCGGGUUGUAAACCGCUUUCAAUUGUGACGAAGCUUUUUGUGACGGUAGCAGUAGAAGAAGCACCGGCUAACUACGUG
rnacentral:rRNA from 1 species